GACGAACGCUGGCGGCGUGCUUAACACAUGCAAGUCGAACGGAAAGGCCCUGCUUUUGUGGGGUGCUCUAGUGGCGAACGGGUGAGUAACACGUGAGUAACCUGCCCUUGACUUUGGGAUAACUUCAGGAAACUGGGGCUAUACCGGAUAGGAGCUCCUGCUGCAUGGUGGGGGUUGGAAAGUUUCGGCGGUUGGGGAUGGACUCGCGGCUUAUCAGCUUGUUGGUGGGGUAGUGGCUUACCAAGGCUUUGACGGGUAGCCGGCCUGAGAGGGUGACCGGCCACAUUGGGACUGAGAUACGGCCCAGACUCCUACGGGAGGCAGCAGUGGGGAAUAUUGCACAAUGGGCGGAAGCCUGAUGCAGCAACGCCGCGUGCGGGAUGACGGCCUUCGGGUUGUAAACCGCUUUCGCCUGUGACGAAGCGUGAGUGACGGUAAUGGGUAAAGAAGCACCGGCUAACUACGUG
rnacentral:rRNA from 1 species